AUGGAGCACCGGCGUGAGUCCAAGGAGGCGGCGGGGAUAGUAGAUGAGGGGGAAGACCAAGAAUCUCCGGAGAUGCACAGGGGCGUCCUCUCCGAUACAACCCCUCAAACCAGAGAUGUUUCAUUCCGAGGUAGAUGCAGAGUCGGGGAGACGGGCCCCCCGAUCAGUGCUUCACUUGGCGCCAUGAGAACCCUUGUCUGGAAGCUGGACAUGCUGCUGCUAGCGCCUCCUCCGGGAUGCUCCUCCGAGAGUGUCAAGCUUAAGAUGCAGCUCCUCAAAGAAGAUAUUGAAGAGAUAAGCACCUGCCUUGAUGCACUGUCACAACUGGAGGACCCUCCCCAGACGGCCAGGUGCUGGAUGAAUGAGGUGCGCGAUCUGUCUUACAACAUGGAGGAUUACAUCGACAGCCUAUACGUGCAGGCUGCAGACCCCUCCUUCAUUGCCGAUAACAUCAAGAUCACCAGAUCCCACCACAAAUGGCUAAGUCAUGUCAGGGCACCCAAGAAGCUUACGUGGGAUGAGCAGAUUGUGGGAUCAGUAUCAGAAUUCAGGACAUAUGUUGGCGACGCGAUGAAACGACACAGGAUGUAUGGUCUAAUUUUUUUUAGCACCUUGAGGCAUACACUUGUGCCUGUUGGCCAUAUGCUUCCAACGCCAACACCGUAUGAAGUAACAUCUGACAUAGUAAUCAAUGACCGCAUGAAUGAGUUUAUUAACUCACUGACUAACGAUGGCGCCGAUCAGCAGCAGCUCAAGGUGGUAUCUGUUCUGGGAUCUGCUUGUCUUGGUAAAACUACAUUUGCUAGAGUGUUGUACAACAGGAUUGGGUUGCAAUUUGAUUGCCGAGCUUUCAUUCGAGUGUCCAAAAACCCUGAUAUGAAGAAAAUUUUCUGGGACAUGCUCUUGCAAUUGAAGCGGCAGCAGUGCCCACCACAGUAUUUUAAGGAGGUUGAUCUCAUUAAUAUGAUAAAAAAUUAUCUCCAAGACAAAAGGUAUUUCAUUAUUAUUGAUGAUCUGUGGUCUGCAUCAGUAUGGGAUAUUAUCAAUCGUGCCCUUCCGAAGGGUAGUCAUGGCAGCAGAAUAAUAACCACUACACAGAUAGAAGAUGUUGCUUUCAGAUGUUGCCGUUAUCAGUCAGAGCUUGUUUUUGAGAUGAAACCCCUAGAUGAUCAUCACUCAAGAAAGCUAUUCUUUAACAGACUGUUUGGCUUUGAAAGUGAUUGCCCUGAACAGUUCAAAGAGAUUUUAAAUGAAAUUGUUGAAAUAUGUGGUGGUUUGCCACUUGCAACAGUCAGCAUAGCUAGUCUUUUAGCAAGCCAGCCUGCCCUGACAAUUGAUCUAUUGACAUACAUCCAUCAGUCAUUGAGCUCUCUUUUCUCGGCGAAUCCUACCUCAGAAAGAACCAGACAAGCACUGAAUCUCAGCUUCCACAAUCUUCCUCAAUGCUUGAAGACAUGUUUGCUUUAUCUUAGUAUGUAUCAAGAGGGCUACACAUUCUACAAGGAUGAUUUGGUGAAGCAAUGGAUGGCUGAAGGCUUCAUCGAUACAACAGAAGGGCAAGAUGUGGAGAAACUUGCAGAGAGCUAUCUCAAUCAACUUAUCAGUAGAAGAUUCAUCCAACCUAUACGUAUCAACUUCAACAAUGAGGUGUUGUCAUGUGCAGUUCAUGAUGUUGUGCAUGAUAUUAUCACACAGAAGUCCGCAGAAGAGAAUUUCGUUGUUGCAAUAGACUACAAUGAAGAUAACGCAGAUCUUUAUCACAACGCCCGUCGACUCACUCUUCUCUUUGGCAAUGCAAGAUAUACCAAGACACCAACAAGAAGCAUCACAGAGUCGCAAGUUCGGUCACUCACUUUUUUUGGAUUAUUUGAGUCUAUGCCUAGUACUAAAGAAUUCAAGUUUCUUCGUGUUCUAAACCUUCACAUAUCUGGUUAUGGUGGCUCCAAAGAACUCGGUCAUGACGACAACCCUGUAGACCUCAGUGUGAUUUCAGAACUGUCUCAAUUGAGAUAUUUGAAGAUUGCUUCUAAUCUCUGUGUAAAAUUGCCAGACUAUAUGGGAGGGCUGCAUUGUUUGGAGACACUGGAUAUUAUGGAUGCAGUACUCCUUAAACUUAGAAUCGGUGUCUGUCUCCCAUACUUGUUGCACUUGUAUCUCAGUCUCCAUCAUGAGAGAAAUCUGCAGAAUUGGAUUGACGAGAUAUUGGAAGUUAACAGGAUGAAACACCUGCAGGAUCUUCGUGUUACCUUUUCUUCUGGGCAGUCUUCCUCUCAGGAAAAAAAUAUGUUAAUUCUGAGGUAUUUUAUGAGCGGACAUGAAAACCUGAAAACUAUAGUAGUUGCUUGUGACUCCUCAGACAAGGUUAUUGAUGGCGCUUCAGAUGCAUCCAUUUCAUGGGAUGACAUGGUACCUCCCCCACUCCUCCAGAGAUUUGAAUUCUCGCGGCACAGAGGCUGCAUAUUCUCACAAAUACCUCCGUGGGUUGAGAAACACAAGAACCUGAGCAUUUUGAAGAUUGCUGUGAAGGAACUUAAGAUGAUUUGUGUUGGUAUUCUCGGAGGAUUGCCUUCCCUCACGUCUCUGUCGCUGGGCGUAGAGACGGCCCCCGUUGGCAAGAUCAUCUUUAACGUGGCAGGGUUCUCAGUUCUCAAGUACUUCAGGAUGACGUUCAUGACUGGUAUAGCUUGGCUAAAAUUUGAGGAGGAUGCAAUGCCUAAUCUCUUGAAGCUCAAGCUAGUUUUCAAUGCCAAGUCCCGACUGGACCGACGUCAACAUGGUACUGCCAAUAUUACAAUCAAUCAUAUGCCAAGCCUUAAAGAGGUCUCCGUAAAAUUUGGGUGUGCAGCUGCUGAUAUAGAGUAUGCUUUGAGGACCUUUGUUAGUAAUCAUCCGAGCAAUCCUACAAUCAGCAUGCAACCAGUGGAUUUUAGUUCUUGUGGAGAGAAAAACACAAAACGGAAACAUCAACUGGAUGGGGUUGUGGAGGAGGAACCAGAUGAAUACUACAAACAACAACCAGAUGAGAUUCAGCAGCAUGAACCAGUUGAAUAUUACAAACACCAACCGGAUAAGAUUGCGGAGGAAGAACCAGUUGAAUACGACAAGAAACUGGAGAGACCAGCAGAGAAAAGGAUUUCAAGGCCACCGGAGUCCUCUUCGCGUCUGCAUGAUCCAGAGAAAGAGGCUCGAGGGGGAGAAGGCGACAGGAGUCAAUCCAUCCAGCUGGAUGUAAACAAGGUGGGCCUGCAUGAGUUCACCUUGGACGUGCUCAGGUCCGCCACCAGCAACUUCUCGAAGGAAAACCUUCUCAACCCGGAAGAACUCCACCCUAACAUCUACAAGGGCGCCCUUGAGGGCACUGUCAUGGUCAUCAUCACAAAAUUCAACUUCAGCUUGCCCUCAGACUUGAAGUAUCUUGAGAUGAUGCACCAUCCUCAUCUAGUGAAGUUGCUGGGCUACUGCAACCAAGAGUGCAGUAUACUCGUCCACGAGUACAUGCCCAGGGGCGACCUCAAGCAUCACUUCUUGGAGACCAAUCUCAUUGGGUCGUUAGCAUGGCUAACACGGCUCAAGAUCGCUGUCGGAGCGGCCAAGGGGCUGGCUUUUCUACACGAGUCAGGCGAGCAGAUGAUGUACUACAGUGGUUUCACGGCUUCUAGCAUUCUGCUUGACUCGGAUUACACAGCGAAGCUGUGGGGCUUUGGGAUGGGGAAUAAGGAUGACUCCACGGUGCCAGCCAGAAUAAAGAGCGACGUGUACAACUUUGGUGUGGUGCUGCUACAACUGUUGGACCCGAGAAUGGAGAGGCAAUACUCGCGGUCGGCAGCGUGGAGCACUGUGAAGGUCGCGCGCCGGUGCUUGCAGAGCAAGCGCAAGUACCAGCCUCACAUGCGCAACGUCGUGAAAGCCCUUGAGCCGCUGCUCAACGAUGACAGCACCGGCAAGCAGCAGUCAAAGAAAACUAAUUUCUUACGGUGCUUUAUUGGUAGCAAAACUGGUGGAAUUGGGGAGGAAGAGCACGUUAAAGUAUCCAAACAUCUUGUGGAUGGGGCAGUAAAUGAGAAAGGGAAAACUAAGACGAUGGACGGGGCAGUAAAUGAGAAAGGCAAAACUAAGAUGAUCGAAAAAGAGCCAGACGAGUACUACAAACAACAGCCAACAAAUGACAUGGACAUGUUGGAAGAGCCAGACGAGUACGGAACACACGCAGACAUUUGGAACCAGGCACUAACUGGGCGCUAG
rnacentral:rRNA from 1 species